AACGUUUUUAAACUUGUAAUGUUUAUAACAAAUUAUUCCAAUCCAUUUUUGGCGCAAGCCCAAAUUUUCUCAUAAUCUUCUUGGUAAAAUGUGUUUAUGAAAAAAUUAUAUUAAUCCUUACACAAUAUUUUUGAUGUGUUCUAAUACUGGAAAUAUUUGUUACUAUUCCAGGUAUAACACGAGGUGGUUAGCGGUCGUCGUUGGAGGUGGUUUGAGGUGGUUACGGGAUGGUUGCGGGUGAUCGAGGAUUCCAAGUAUUUGACAACAGUGAUACCUUAUCACAUGGACAAUGGCCCACCUCAUAAUCAAGCUUUACAAGUCCUCAUUAAGAUAUUAAAGGCUAUUAAUGAGGAUAGUCCAACGGUGCCCACAUUAUUAACGGACUACAUAUUGAAAGUUCUGUGCCCCACCUAGUGAUCCACUAGUACAUAUCCUCCGACGUGACGUCGCUGUGC
rnacentral:lncRNA from 1 species